AGCAGCCGCGGUAAUUCCAGCUCCAAUAGCGUAUAUUAAAGUUGUUGCAGUUAAAAAGCUCGUAGUUGAAUUUCGGGAUCAAUAUGCCGGUCAUGCCUUGGUAUGUACUGGUAUCUUUGAUUUCUCCCUUCUGACGAACUUUGAUGUCAUUAAUUUGGUGUCAUAGGGAAUCAGGACUGUUACUUUGAAAAAAUUAGAGUGUUUAAAGCAGGCUCACGCUUGAAUACAUUAGCAUGGAAUAAUGAAAUAGGACGUUUGAUUCUAUUUUGUUGGUUUCUAGGAUCGACGUAAUGAUUAAUAGGGAUAGUUGGGGGCAUUAGUAUUCAAUUGUCAGAGGUGAAAUUCUUGGAUUUAUUGAAGACUAACUACUGCGAAAGCAUUUGCCAAGGAUGUUUUCAUUAAUCAAGAACGAAAGUUAGGGGAUCGAAGACGAUCAGAUACCGUCGUAGUCUUAACCAUAAACUAUGCCGACUAGGGAUCGGAUGAUGUUAAUUUUUAAUGACUCAUUC
rnacentral:rRNA from 1 species